rnacentral:rRNA from 1 species
AGACAGCAGCCGCCACGGUAAUACGGAGGGUGCAAGCGUUAAUCUGAAUUACUGGGCGUAAAGCGCACGCAGGCGGUCUGACAAGUCAGAUGUGAAAUCCCCGGGCUUAACCUGGGAACUGCAUUUGAAACUGUCAGGCUGGAGUCUUGUAGAGGGGGGUGGAAUUCCAGGUGUAGCGGUGAAAUGCGUAGAGAUCUGGAGGAAUACCGGUGGCGAAGGCGGCCCCCUGGACAAAGACUGACGCUCAGGUGCGAAAGCGUGGGGAGCAAACAGGAUUAGAUACCCCUGUAGUCCCUGUCUCUUAUAC